AAAAAACUGGAACACUCUCUCUCCAACAUUCGGCACCUCCAACCCCCACAUUUGAAACCCCCAAAACCCAAACCUUCAUAUCCGAUCAGUGAACCAACCAACCGUGGUCGUUAAAAAAAGUAGCAGAAAUCUAUAAAUCAAGAACUUCUCUCUCUCACAAUUGAAAAUCAAAAAAUCGAAAGGCCAAAGUAUGAAACCCUCCAUCUCCGGUCGUCGCACCGCACAUUCGCCAAAAGGUGUUGCCGUCAAACACUGGUCCUCGCAAGCAUUGCCCAAAAAUGCCCAUUUGUUGUUGACAACUAGACACAAGCCUGAUAAAUAUUCCAAUUUCAUUGUUAGGUGUGAAUUUGCAGAUAAUGGGGGUAUAGAUUCAAUUAGCGAUAGAGCAAAAAUGUCUGCUAUGCUUUUGUUUUUUGUGUAGAUUGAUUCAAAGUGUUAUGCUAGUGUAAUGGGGACGAUUUUGGAUGACGAGGUGAUUGAAAAGCAAAGAAAGGCUGCAAUGCAAGCUCAAUAGGCUCAUGAACAAUACUCCACCAGAGUCGAAUCAAUUCCGGUUGCCAUUUCAGAUACAUCUAAUGGCUAUGGUACUCAUCGGAUAGAGAAAAAUGCAGCCAUUACAACACCACCACCAUUGGUGUUUCGAGUUUUCUACAGGGACCUUACGAUGGUUGGCAAUUUGCUUUCCCUGGCAGGAUUUAAUUGUUCGAUGCCAGUGACAUAUGAAGCAUUGAGCUGCUGAUAAUGGUGAUUAUUGCAACAAUUAGCAAGAAUUGAAAUCAAGCUUUGAGGGAAAACAAAAGUUCACUACGUUUCUUGUUCAGACUGCACUUCAAUAGCGAAUUUCUACCAUGUUCUGUAGCCUUGUCGAGUAGCACUUCAAUCACACUUUAUGUAGUUGUUGUUAAUGAUGUAUUUUUUAACUGUUUGUUUGAGUGGCGUUAUUUACUAAUUCAUUAUUGAUGGAAAAGAUUACUU
rnacentral:lncRNA from 1 species